UGGGGAAUAUUGCACAAUGGGCGCAAGCCUGAUGCAGCCAUGCCGCGUGUAUGAAGAAGGCCUUCGGGUUGUAAAGUACUUUCAGCGGGGAGGAAGGCGAUAAGGUUAAUAACCUUGUCGAUUGACGUUACCCGCAGAAGAAGCACCGGCUAACUCCGUGCCAGCAGCCGCGGUAAUACGGAGGGUGCAAGCGUUAAUCGGAAUUACUGGGCGUAAAGCGCACGCAGGCGGUCUGUCAAGUCGGAUGUGAAAUCCCCGGGCUCAACCUGGGAACUGCAUUCGAAACUGGCAGGCUAGAGUCUUGUAGAGGGGGGUAGAAUUCCAGGUGUAGCGGUGAAAUGCGUAGAGAUCUGGAGGAAUACCGGUGGCGAAGGCGGCCCCCUGGACAAAGACUGACACUGAGAGACGAAAGCUAGGGGAGCGAAUG
rnacentral:rRNA from 1 species